UUUAAGCUCAGACACUUGUAGCAAGGCUACAGAAAAGGUGGGGAAGUUUACUUUAGUUGGUGGAGAGCAAGAUAAAAGGGUCAGAUGGGAAUAGACUUGUGAUCUGACCCUUAAACUUUAAGGGAUAACUGUGUUCAGGGUCCUCAGACUUAACGCAAAGAAAUCCCGAUCUUUUACACAGAUACCCUCGGGUCAAGGAAAAG
rnacentral:lncRNA from 1 species